UGGGGAAUAUUGGACAAUGGGCGCAAGCCUGAUCCAGCAAUGCCGCGUGUGUGAAGAAGGCCUUCGGGUUGUAAAGCACUUUUAUCAGGAGCGAAACGCUGUCGGCUAAUACCCGGCGGAACUGACGGUACCUGAGGAAUAAGCACCGGCUAACUUCGUGCCAGCAGCCGCGGUAAUACGAAGGGUGCAAGCGUUAAUCGGAAUUACUGGGCGUAAAGCGUGCGUAGGCGGUUUCUUAAGUCUGCUGUGAAAUCCCCGGGCUCAACCUGGGAAUGGCAGUGGAUACUGGGAGGCUAGAGUGUGUCAGAGGGUGGUGGAAUUCCCGGUGUAGCGGUGAAAUGCGUAGAGAUCGGGAGGAACAUCAGUGGCGAAGGCGGCCACCUGGGACAACACUGACGCUGAGGCACGAAAGCGUGGGGAGCAAACAGGAUUAGAUACCCUGGUAGUCCACGCCCUAAAGCGAUGCGAACUGGAUGUUGGUCUCAACUCGGAGAUCAGUGUCGAAGCUAACGCGUUAAGUUCGCCGCCUGGGGGAGUACGGUCGCAAGACUGAAACUCAAAGGAAUUGAC
rnacentral:rRNA from 1 species